UUGAGAAUAAUUAUAUGUGUUGAAAAGGUUCAAGUUUGGGGUUGUAUGGGGAAAGUGAAAGGCAAAAGAAAAAGGAAAACAUUGAGUUCAAAAGAAUGAAAAAGAAAAAUGCAUGUGAAAGAAAAGAAAAGAAGAAAAGAGAAAAAGCAUGUAAAAUGAUAAAGGGAAAAAGUUGGGAAUGAGUGAGAAUUGGUUAAAAAGAGAGUGUGCUUGAACUUUGAAUGAUGAUUUAAACUCUCUUAACUCAAGGAUUUUGUAUUCCAGAAAAACCAAUUUUUCUUGAUAACCCAGCCACAAUACAAGCCUUGGAAAAAG
rnacentral:lncRNA from 1 species